UUAAGCUAAAAAGAGCGCAGGGUGGAUGCCUUGGCACUAAGAGCCGAAGAAAGACGUGAUAAGCUGCGAAAAGCCAUGGGGAGCUGCAAAUAAGCAUUGAUCCAUGGAUAUCUGAAUGGGGAAACCUACAUGGAAAGACUCCAUGUGACCUGUAAUGAAUCCAUAGUUACAGGCCGGGAACCCGGUGAACUGAAACAUCUAAGUAGCCGGAGGAAAAGAAAGAAACAUCGAUUCCGGGAGUAGCGGCGAGCGAAACCGGAAGAGCCCAAACCGGAAUGCGUGCAUUCCGGGGUUAGGACUGCAAAAGUCACGUCAACUGUUAGCAGAACGGUCCUGGAAAGACCGGCCAGAGAGGGUGAAAGCCCCGUAAGCGAAAACGGAAGACGGACGGCAGGAUCCAGAGUACCACGAGACACGAGGAACCUUGUGGGAAUGAGCGGGGACCACCCCGUAAGGCUAAAUACUACUUAGUGACCGAUAGAGCAUAGUACUGUGAAGGAAAGGUGAAAAGGACCCCGGGAGGGGAGUGAAAGAGAACCUGAAACCCUGUGUUUACAAACUGUGGAAGUGCCAUACGAGCACAACCGCGUACUUUUUGUAGAACGGUCCGGCGAGUUACGGAUACUGGCGAGGUUAAGUACUUAAGGUACGGAGCCGAAGGGAUACCAAGUCUUAAUAGGGCGCAUGGAACUAAAGUUCCAAGUCAGUAUGUGUAGACCCGAAACCGGGUGAUCUACCCAUGUCCAGGUUGAAGUUGCCGUAAAAGGCAAUGGAGGACCGAACACACAUCCGUUGAAAAGGGUGGUGAUGAGGUGUGGGUAGGGGAGAAAUUCCAAUCGAACCCGGAGAUAGCUGGUUCUCCUCGAAAUAGCUUUAGGGCUAGCCUCGUAUUAUCCAUGUGGAGGUAGAGCACUGAAUUUCAGCGGGGGCGUCAAAGCUUACCAAAGAAUAUCAAACUCCGAAUGCCAUAAUGGAGAUGUACGGGAGUCAGACUGCACGAGAUAAGUUGGGUAGUCAAAAGGGAAAGAGCCCAGACCUACAGCUAAGGUCCCAAAGUGCGUGUUAAGUGGAAAAGGAUGUGGGAUUUCGAAGACAACUAGGAUGUUGGCUCAGAAGCAGCCAUACAUUCAAAGAGUGCGUAAUAGCUCACUAGUCGAGAGGUCCUGCGCCGAAAAUGUCCGGGGCUGAAACACGACACCGAAGCUUAGGACUCAGGUAACUGAGUGGUAGAGGAGCAUUGUUAGCGCGAAGAAGCUGUACCGGUAAGGAGCAGUGGAGUGCUAAGAAGAGAGAAUGCCGGAAUGAGUAGCGAGAGGAAGGUGGGAAUCCUUCCGGCCGAAUAUCCAAGGUUUCCAGAGUAAAGCUGAUCUGCUCUGGGUAAGUCGGGACCUAAGGCGAGGUCGAAAGACGUAGCCGAUGGACAACAGGUGGAAAUUCCUGUACUGCGACAUAUCAGAAAUGUGGGGACGCAUGUGGAGAGUGUAAGCCGGGAAAGAAAAGACCGGCACAAGCGGAGAAGGAGAUAAGCAGGCAAAACCGUUUAUCAAUCCGAAGCCGUAACGUGGAGCGAAAUAAAAGUAGCGAAGUACAUGAGCCAUGUGCCAAGAAAAGCCGCUAUUGUGUAUGUUGUACCCGUACCGUAAACCGACACAGGUGGAUGAGGAGAGAAUCCUAAGGCCGACGGGAGAAGCAUUGUUAAGGAACUCGGCAAAAUGACCCCGUAACUUCGGGAGAAGGGGUGCCACCGCGAGGUGGCCGCAGAGAAUAGGCUCAAGCAACUGUUUAGCAAAAACACAGGUCUAUGCGAAACCGAAAGGUGAGGUAUAUGGGCUGACGCCUGCCCGGUGCUGGAAGGUUAAGAGGAGAUGUCAGCGCAAGCGAAGCAUUGAAUUUAAGCCCCAGUAAACGGCGGCCGUAACUAUAACGGUCCUAAGGUAGCGAAAUUCCUUGUCGGGUAAGUUCCGACCCGCACGAAAGGCGUAAUGAUUUGAGCACUGUCUCGACAAUGCACCCGGUGAAAUUGAAGUACCAGUGAAGAUGCUGGUUACCUGCGCCAGGACGGAAAGACCCCAUGGAGCUUUACUCCAGUUUGAUACUGGGAUUCGAUGCUGAAUGUACAGGAUAGGUGGGAGGCUAAGAAAUAGGGACGCCAGUCUCUAUGGAGCCGCUGUUGGGAUACCACCCUUUGAGUAUUGGAUUUCUAACCUGCAGCCGUGACCCGGCUGGGGGACAAUGUCUGACGGGGAGUUUGACUGGGGCGGUCGCCUCCGAAAGGGUAUCGGAGGCGCUCAAAGGUUCCCUCAGAAUGGUUGGAAACCAUUCGAAGAGUGCAAAGGCAGAAGGGAGCUUGACUGCGACACCGACGGGUGGAGCAGGUACGAAAGUAGGACUUAGUGAUCCGGUGGUAUAAAGUGGGAUUGCCAUCGCUCAACGGAUAAAAGCUACCCUGGGGAUAACAGGCUGAUCACUCCCAAGAGUUCACAUCGACGGAGUGGUUUGGCACCUCGAUGUCGGCUCAUCGCAUCCUGGGGCUGUAGCAGGUCCCAAGGGUUGGGCUGUUCGCCCAUUAAAGCGGUACGCGAGCUGGGUUCAGAACGUCGUGAGACAGUUCGGUCCCUAUCCGGCGCAGGCGGAGGAUAUUUGAGAGGAGCUGUCCUUAGUACGAGAGGACCGGGAUGGACGGACCACUGGUGUAUCUGUUAGGUAUCAGACCUAUGGCAGAGUAGCCAAGUCCGGCAGGGAUAAACGCUGAAGGCAUCUAAGCGUGAAGCCCCCCUCAAGAUGAGAUAUCCCAACAAAUGUUGUAAGACCCCUUAGAGAGUAUGAGGUAGAUAGGAAAGAGGUGUAAGCACAGUAAUGUGUUCAGCUGACUUUUACUAAUCGGUCGAGGGCUUAUCCAG
rnacentral:rRNA from 1 species